CCAUUUAUAACCUUUGCUUGUCCCUUAAGAGGAAAGCUGACAUAUUGCUACUUGGUGUCUUACAAAGGGUUUGAUUACAGUUUCUAAAAGGAAGACAGACUGCCCUAAGCUGACUUCUUUCUGGAGAAAUUCCAGGCUUUAGGCUGGUACAGAUAUCACAUCUAAUAGGAUGUGGCUAAGAAGCAGUGGACUUUGUGGUUAAUACAGAGCUGCAAAUCAGCAAAAGUGUGUUCCAUAGACAUAGAGAGUGGCAAAGUGAAAUGCAGGUGCCUUUUUGAAAGAUUAGCUUACAUCCUUUUGAAGUUCAUUACCAAGGGAAAUAUGCAAAUGUUAUAAUUUAAGCAUUUAUCCUCAUAGCACCUGUGAUUAAAUGUAAGUGGGAGGUAGCACUUCCAAAUAAAUCUUGGCCUGAUCCUUAGAGCCAGAAUCCCCAAAGUUCAGGAUCAGACCAUCUGAGAAGUGAGCUCUAGUUCUCCAUGCUUUGCUCUUUCUAAAAUAAAACGUAAGUUAUAUUUGAUUCUUUAAGCAAAGGUAUGAAGGCUGGCAUAUUUACACAGAAGAGCUGUAAUAAUAGUGUCAUUGGUGUCAAAUGGUCACACAGUCCCUCUUCCAUAGUGGGAUUCAUAGUUAUUUGCUGGCCAUUACCCUUAUCUAAAAAUCUCAGUGAUAUCAUUAGCUUACCUUGCUCUUUGAAUAAUGUAUAACAUUCAGUCAAUUGAAAAUUUAAAAAAAAUUUGCUCAGUUUAAUCUUCCCACAAAUGACUUACAUUCAGCCAGAGGAACAGGGUUGGGAGGAGGGGAUAGGAUCCUAUCCCAGAGAGCACAAUAGGUAGAAAAGAGGUUGAAUUUGAAGAAUAACAUUCUCCCCAAAGUGUACAUCACUCUAUGAAAAAAACUGUAUUUUGAAAUGAUAGCAUAAUAUCACGUUAUGACACAAUAUAAUAUAUAUUAUAUACACAAAGAAUUAUAUUAUUUUUUGCAUCAAUUUUGAAGAUAAUAUUAGAAGCCCUCUUGGUGGUAUAUUCAAGCUAUUUGAAUACAACAUUUAUAGUUUUUCUUUUUAUCAUGAGCUUCUGAAAUAAGAUCUGCCUUGUGUGAAACUCAGCAUGAAGCCAGGAUGUGUUAGUCCUAUCCCCUUGUCACUUAAUACCUGGCUGACACACCAACCCAACCCAUGAUUGAUGUGUGAGUGCUUGACACCUAGUAGUGCUGGCAUGACCUUCCGCCUAAAAAAAGACAGCUGUGUCUUCCCCUUCUGUUUGUUUCAGGAUUUUUGCAAUAAGAUCCCUUCCCCAAAUGGUUUCUGCUAUCCUUUUAAAAGUCACAUUCUCCUACAUGAGUUCUGUAUCUUCUGGGCUAGGUUUUGCUGUAUCAGCCCUUGCCUGACAAGGAAUAACAUGAACUAGCUUAUGUUUCACAAUCUUCUUCCAGCUACUGUGGUGACUGAGUUAGCUACCUUCUUGUUGCCAGUUCUGGCACCAGUACAGUGCUAGGUUCUGAAAUUGCACCAUACUCUUAUCGCCAUGCAAAUUGCAGUGUUUUGGUUCAGUUGGAAAAUCAAGGUUACAAUUUGCGUUUACAGGAUGAAAUUUCCCAGCAGUGUUUUGUGAUGGUCAUAGUGAUGUAAUUUGAUAUCUAUGUAAUAUCAACAACAACUAUUUUUUCCUCAGCUUUACUUUUUAGAAUGAAAAUGGUUUAGAGUUUUGUUAUACCUUUGUUUUUGGAAAGCACAGGGGCCACAUGGCCACAUGUGUCAGCUGUCAGUAUUUGCUUGACCUACACAAUAGAACAUUAAGAAGUUGUCAGGUUAGGAUGGGGGAACUGUUGACCAGGACGUCAGACUGGGAUUUCUUGUUUUUGUUUUUUUAAACAUUAUUUUUAAACUCUUGAACAAGUAGAGGCACUAUUUUAAUAUUCUAGGUAUAGAAGAAGUAGCUUUUAUAACAGAGCAGUGUUAGUUUUAAAUGAAAUAGAAGCCCUCUUUGUAAACACUGAAAACUAGACUCUGAAUGUAAAAGUAGGGAAAAGAAUGGACAUGUUUACUUGGUUUAUCAGAAGCCAUAAAACCCUUAGAGCAGAUUAAAACUUUUCCUCUUCUGUUUGUAGAUGGCUCUGAGAGAUUCCUCUGUGAAUCCGUUUUCAGUUAUCAGGUGGCAUCGACGCUUAAACAGGUGAAACAUGAUCAGCAAGUUGCUCGGAUGGAAAAACUAGCUAGUUUGGUAGAAGAGCUGGAGGCAGAUGAGUGGCGGUUUAAACCCAUCGAGCAGCUUUUGGGCUUCACACCCUCUUCAGGUUGACCUUGCCUGGAUGUUCACCUCUGGUGCACAAGUACAGGUCCAGCGAGAAACUUUUGUUACAGAUUACAUAGCCAUCCAGAGACUCACAGCUCCAUCCCCGAAUUGUUAUUUCACAUGCGUACUUGGUUUCUCUGUAUCUAUCCACAAGCAACAAAAACUUAAAUGUGUGAUCUUGCAGGGAGAAUUUUUGUUUGUUUUAAAAAGUAUUGAGAAUCAUAUUUAGACAAUCAGUGUCAGAGAACCAAGAGGUUUGGGUUUAAGAGAGAUUUAUAAAACUUCACAAGCCAGGACACAUCCCCGAAUUGGCCAACUGAAUGGCAUCCCUCCUGUCAUUUUGUGCAGUUCCUAGAAUCCUCCACCCCUCAAGUCCAAGGUCAAGAACUGGAGUUAGAAAAUACAGCAUUUCUAAAAAAAAAGAAAAGAAAAGAAAAGAAAAUACAGCAUUUCUGACCUAAAACAGUUCUUUCUGCAAAUGAAUGUGGUUUCAACUCAGGACCUGUCCAAAUUAGGAAUUUUUAAAUGUUGGGGUUUUUUUUCUAUUUUUAAACAUCUAAUUCUAUAGAUUCUAACUUUUUCUAACCUCUUCUAGGCAUGCCAGAUGCUGGCAAAAAGAACUGCUUUUUAAAUGUUGAAGCACUUGUAAAAAUAAAGCAGUGAGCAAAAUCCUUUUAAACAUAGAAAUCCUGAGUUCAUCGUGUUGGUGGGCUCAGGCAAUUCCGUAGCAAAUAAAUCCUUUGAAAGAGCUCCACAUUGGUUUCUUUAUCCCUUCAAAGCCUCAGGGAUUUGGGAUGGGGGAAGAGGUCAAAUUGCUUUUUCUAAGAAGGGAAUCUAAAAACCAUUUCUCCUGAGCAAAUGGCAGGUUGGCUUUAUCUCAGGGAUAUUUGUCUUUUCAGAAGUAUGUGAAUUUAUCUUAUCAAUAUGUGAGUAGGCUUUUUUUACCAUAAUAAGGAAAAUCUUAGAAAGUUAAGAGGUGUCCUUUGUUUUUCCUCAUGGGACCCUGCCAGGGCCCACACUGCAUAGUUAAGAGAAGCAUUUAUUAGAUUGUAUGCAAGUUUUGCCUCAGACAGCAUUUUCCUUUCUCCUCAUUAAAACUUGUACCUGAGUUGCUUAAUUGUGGAUAAAUAUAAUCGCAGUAGCAACUGGACUUAAUCUCAGGAGUAGGGAAUGUUUUAACACAUACUACGUGACAGGGAGGUGGUGACCUCCUUGAGUCGAUAAAGAAUCUGAGCACACAAAAGUUAAAGACCUGCCCAUGGUCACAUAGCCCAGAAAGAAGAAAAUUUUGGAACUUGGAAUAGACUGCAGAUGAUUGACAAUUCAGCCCAGUAUCUUGUCUCUAAAGCACAUCAGAGCACAAAAAUUAGCCUUCAAACUCACCUAUUUCCAUAUUAAUACUUCUUAAACUAGUUCCACAUUUGAAAGCCAUUGGGUUUCCUAAUAUUGUCCUUUUUGGCAUUAACCAUCUUGUUGAUUACCAAAGGAAAAAUUUUAAAUACCUAGUCUGCAAUAAACCUCUAAAUCAUAUUUUCAGUGACAGUUCAGAAGCAGUCACUAACUUUCAUUUGACUUAUUUAUGUAACAGUACAGCAUAGACACCGUAUCACUUCGUCUUUACCCUUUGAUAUUUGAACUUAUCACAGAAUAUUUUUCUCUUGAAACUGGACCUUUUUUUUUUUUUUCUUUUUAAGGCCGCACCUGUAGCAUAUGGAAAUUCCUGGGCUAGGGGUCAAAUCAGGACUGCAGGCCUACGCCACAGCCACAGCAGUGCCAGAUCUGAGCCACAUCUGUGACCUACACCAAAGCUUAUGGCAACACCCAAUCCUUAACCCACUGAGCAAGGCCAGGGAUUGAACCCUCAUCCUCAUGGAUAUUAGUCAGGUUCUUUUCCACUGAGCGACAACAGGAACUCCUGGACAUUUCUUUUUAGGUCCUUAGAAAUUGAAGUAAGCCUAGAGUUGAUCAGAAAAACUUUCUGAAGCACCUUUCCCUGUGAUCAUUCAGCCUCUACUUGAGCACGACCCUUAAAUAAAUAACAAGAACCUAUGUGUAGCAGAGGAAAAUCUGCUCGAUAGUUUGUAAUAACGUAAACGGAAAAAAGAAUGGAUAUAUGUACGACUGAUUCACUUUGCUGUACACCUGAAACUAAUACAACAUCUAGCUCAUCCCCCUGGUUGAUAGACAGGACGUCAAAACCUUGUUUUAUUCAUUGCUCUAUGUUCAGUACCUAGAACACUACCUGGCACAUAGUAGGUAUGCAACAGGUAUUUAUUGAGAAAAUAAAUUAUGAAUUUGCAUCUUUACACUGUUUUAGAAAGUGUGUUGUUAGCUAUUUACAGUGCAGCAUCCAUAGUGGAGAAAUGCCUACAGUAAUUGAAAUAGGUGGUGGGCAGAGCCAAGACAAUAACCCAAAUCUCAGCCCAGAGCGCUCCAUUAUGCUGCACUGACAGGUGGAGGUGAUGAAACAAAUAGAAACCGUGCCCAAAGCAGCCACGUCUCACAUGAUCCCCUCUGUGUGAGGAGCCAGGCUGAAUGAUGCUGGUGGCUUCCUGCCCUCCGCAUGGGCUCCUGCACAUGGGCCCCAUUGUAGCCUCACAUGUCAACAUCCACAAGCUGCUCUCCACCUCUCCAGAUACUUUAAUUCCUCUAGUCAGGUUUCCCCAGAGGAACUGUUUCUCCGGAAUCUGUUUACUUCAUUUUUAUAAUACAAGCUCUACGUAAUAAAA
rnacentral:lncRNA from 1 species